CAGUGGACUCGAGUCUUUCAGGCCAGGAGAGGGUGGUCGGGGCAAGAGCAGGAAGCGGUGCCCUGAGUGACUGGGGAAUUCAGGGUCUCAGCUUCUCAGAUUCUGCCCACCUGCCUCUCCCCACCUAUGUCACCUCCACCUGGAGAACCUGCAGGGCUGUGAAUCCCGCACGGCUGACUCAGCCUGUUGCACUGGUUCCCAGAAAUUGCAGACCUGUGGAUCCUGGAGAUAAGGGCUUCCUUCAGGCCAGCACAGAAAGUCAGGAGCGGGUGUUCAGAGUCCCAGGGCGAUCCAGUCCCUGCACCCUGCAAUUUUAUGACCCUGGUGCAAGCUGCAGCCAUGGGUCCUGAGAGCCGCGCCAUGUGUAAACAUGCGCCAGGCUCCAGAUGAUCGCAGUGAUAACCGCGUGACCACUCCGGGAUCACGUGUGAGUGCACCUUCUCCACAGGUCCCAGGACCACCCAUCGGAUCAGGGAUCACUCCAGACUCCUCUCCUAGAGGCGCUGCCACCCUGGAAGCACAUCUGGCACUCAGAUCAUGUUCAGUCAGAAAAACGAAGCCACCGCGAUUAUGAUUAUGGGAACAUAGGGUUUACACGGGGGAGUUGCUGGGGAGGGCAUUUCAGGACAGCCUUGAUCAAAGGGCUGGGGAGAUGGUCCAGGCGAUGCCAACCGGAAGCCCCAGAGGAGGAGAGGAAAGCCAUCCACUAGGGGACCAUCGCUGGCCCCGAGCUCUGGGUGGGCCCGGUGUCCGGAGUCUGCCGUCUGCCUCCUGGAAAUUCAGGCUUCCUUUCACCUGGGCCUCCCCCUCCUCCCCUGAGCUUCCCUCACCGGCAGGCCAGCCCGGCCCUCAGGGACAGCUGGUGGGAAAGAUGAGAAUGAACACGUCCAGCCCAGCCCUGAGCCAGGGCAGGUGCGAUAGAUAUAGGCUGGGAGGCCGGUCUCCCUUGGUUCUCAUCUCGCCGGGUUCUAAUCUCUCCUGAAGUCUUUUUCACACUAAAGCCCUCAAAGCCAGCUGAAGCACUCGCCCGUGGUUCUGAUUAAACAUUGUUCUGACAAAGGAAAUAUUAUCCUCAAAGCCCUAACACUACAGAUGGGCCCCGUGUCUCUGGGUCCUGCCCCGUAUGCUUGGAGAGGGGUUUGGCGACUCAGCCAUGCCCCAGGGGGAGGCUUGCCGGCCUGCGGGCCCCGCCACCUUCCUGUAAGCGCUGGUCUAGCUGAAUAUCAAGGUCCCCGGAGGGCCAUAUUUGAUGCUGUAACUGCUGGUGUCACUUUACAGUGAAGACAUUCAUUAUGUCCCUUUGCAGAGCAUAUUUGAUGCAGAGGAGGCCGCUGGAGGCCUGAGAGGAGUGAGGAGAAAGUGCAGGUCCCCGAGCAGCCCCUGGGCGCUUCGCCGCCCAGCUGUGGGCAGGUCAGCAAGGCUGAGUCGCAGGGAACAGGAGGGGCCUCUCCAGGAUCCAGGGCCGGGGCCCUUGGAACUCAGCAGUUUCCGGUUUGAUAGGGGAGGGAUCAAUCACACAGAUGUAUAAAAUGUAAUACAGAAUAUUGAAUUGCAGUGAACAAGUCUAAACAACUUUAAAAUGACCUUCCAGGAAGACCUGUGAUACGAUUUCUCCCUGGUUUCCAUGUAUUCCGUACCUACAUUUAAAUGGCGUGAUGAUUUAUUUUAAGUAUCUGUGUGUUUGUAUCUCACACCAUCCCACAUGGAUGUCAUCCCAUAAUCGUCCGAUUUAUCGGCCAAGCGGGACCCCUCCUCCCCCCACAGGCCAGGGUCUGGGUGGGCAGGACCUGGUCUGACUCACAGCACUUGUCAAUGAUGGAUAAGGAUGCAGUGAAGAAACGCAUCAAACGAUGGAUAAGGAUGCAGUGAAGAAACGCAUCAAACGAUGGAUAAGGAUGCAGUGAAGAAACGCAUCAAACGAUGGAUAAGGAUGCAGUGAAGAAACGCAUCAAACGAUGGAUAAGGAUGCAGUGAAGAAACGCAUCAAACGAUGGAUAAGGUUGUGGUGAAGAAACGCAGACACACCCUCGCUCUCUGGAAGUUUCCGUGACUGAGGUUUUGGGACCAACAUUGAUUUUAAAUACAAGGACAGCAGUUUUAAGGACUCAGUGUGGUGAGGACUCAUUGGAAAUAAGAAAACGUUUGCCUACUUUACAGAUUUUUAUGUUCUCUAAAAUAGGUCUGUUUUUAAAAAAGACAUUUUAAAAGGGACAUGUUACAUUCAAUGAGGGAAGAAAAUGGUAAAUGUCAGGGAUAAUUAUUUUGUGCUUGAAAGCAGAAGAAAAUGAAUGAUCCCUGAUUUCCUGAAGCAUUUAAACUAAAACAGAACAGCACCCUGCUCUGUGCUCCCGACACAGGUGGCUAAUCCGGAAUCCUGGUCAACAAAGUCUGCAGCCCUGCAGCCUGCUGUGAUGUUUGCUGAGCAGCAGAGACAGGUGAAGAGUUGCUCUGAGAAUGCCCUGAUCUGCUGCAGCUGUAGGUGAAGGAGCAGCUUAGGAUAGAAAUCAAGAUAAGAGCAACAAACCCAGGCUCCCGCGAGAAGCCAGUGGGUGUCCAACUUGAGGGCGGAGGAAGGCCUGCACUGCCUGGACGAGGACUGACUGCGGCAAAUUCACUCCAGGGCUGGGCGUCCACGUCCAGCCAGAACGCAGAACUUGCCGGGUUGCGCUGCUCACACAGGCCCCGCCGUCCCCGCCGUCCCCGCCGUCCCCGCCGUCCCCGCCGUGAAGGUGCUCAGCUCUGCGUGGCUUGACUGCGGGCCCUCAGGUGUCCUUGUCCAGGGCUCAGCCUCCCCAUCCUCUGCAGCGGGGACAUUCUAAGUGAGUGUCUUGUUUAAAAAAUAAAGGUGGUAAAAACUGGA